rnacentral:sRNA from 1 species
GAUCUCUCAGAACGCCCACUGGAGUCCCCAGGCCGCUCCCGUUGCCUCGGCCAAAAGAUGAGUCUCAACCUCCCAUCCCCUCUCUCUCCUCAGGAUGUUCUUGAAUCGAAGAACAGCACCAUCCAGGACCUGCAGUAUGAGCUGGCCCGGGUCUGUAAGGCCCAUAACGACCUGCCCUGUCUCCACAGGCCCAUAACGACCUGCCCUGUCUCCACAGGCCCAUAACGACCUGCUGCGCACGUAUGAGGCAAAGCUGCUGGCCUUCGGGAUCCCUCUGGACAACGUGGGCUUCACGCCCUUGGAAACAGCUGUGAUCGGACAGACGCUGGGCCAGGGCCCCGCAGGACUGGUGGGCACCCCGACGUAGCUGCCCCCCUGGGGGGCCACAGCCCAGAGAACCAGCCUAGGAACACUCUUGGGAUGACACCCCUUAUUACACCAAGGACAGCAAGUUUUUUAGAUUUUAUCAUCAGCAAAUGAAAGCUUUUCACAUGUU